rnacentral:lncRNA from 1 species
UAGAAAUUGGUAAAAAUCUGCGGAUCUAUUUUUGUUGUCGAUUCAGGUGGUGGUGGUGGAAGGGUGAUGGAUAUGGAAGAAGUUUUUGGCUUUGUUCUACCGUUUCUGACAAAAAGACAGAAUCGAGCUAUACCUUUACAAUUACCUGGGGAGAUGGUGGAUGUGAGGAUGACGGAGUCAUUGAAGUGAGGAUUGAGAUGGGGACGGUGGUUGAGGUGAGAGUGGAUUUAGUGGUGAUAGAUAUAAUUGAGGUGGACAUGGACAUAAUGGUUAUGAAGGAGACGGACGGCAUGGAGGUGGAGAUAAUGAUGACGGAGGUGACGAUGGAGAUGGGGUCAAAGAAGAUGGAGUUGGAG